rnacentral:rRNA from 1 species
GACGAACCGUGCUAACGUUGUUCGGAAUCACUGGGCUUAAAGGGCGCGUAGGCGGGCCGGCAAGUCAGGGGUGAAAGCCCGCGGCUCAACCGCGGAAGCGCCUUUGAUACUGCCGGCCUCGAGGGGGGUAGGGGCGUGCGGAACUUCCGGUGAAGCGGUGAAAUGCGUAGAUAUCGGAAGGAACACCGGUGGCGAAAGCGGCGCGCUGGACCCCUUCUGACGCUGAGGCGCGAAAGCCAGGGGAGCAAACGGG